rnacentral:rRNA from 1 species
UACGUAGGGUGCGAGCGUUGUCCGGAAUUACUGGGCGUAAAGAGCUCGUAGGUGGUUUGUCGCGUUGUUCGUGAAAUUCCCUGGCUUAACUGGGGGCGUGCGGGCGAUACGGGCAGACUGGAGUACUGCAGGGGAGACUGGAAUUCCUGGUGUAGCGGUGGAAUGCGCAGAUAUCAGGAGGAACACCGGUGGCGAAGGCGGGACUCUGGGCCGAUACUGACGCUGAGGAGCGAAAGCGUGGGGAGCAAACAGG